rnacentral:lncRNA from 1 species
CUGUUGAGUGUAGAUUUUACACUCAAUACGUUUACUUUACGUGGAUCUUUUGUUUAGAUUUAAUUAUAUUUGUGCUUUAAUUGAUUGAUUUUGUGUUUUAUAGGUGAAAAACGAGAAUUAGGUGUCCAUGAAGGAAAAAAGAUCAAAAAUAAAGGAAAAAGUUGCAAAUAAGGAAACAAAUCAAAUUGGAAGAAGGAAUCUCGCCACAGCUUUGACAGUGUCCACGAUUUCGAGCA